GAUGGGAAACAGGUUAAUAUUCCUGUACUUCUGGUUACUGCGAUGGAGGGACGGAGAAGGCUAGGCCAGCUUGGCGUUGGUUGUCCAAGUUUAAGGUGGUAGGCUGAAAUCUUAGGUAAAUCCGGGGUUUCAAGGCCGAGAGCUGAUGACGAGUCGUCUUUUAGAUGACGAAGUGGUUGUUGCCAUGCUUCCAAGAAAAGCUUCUAAGCUUCAGGUAACCAGGAACCGUACCCCAAACCGACACAGGUGGUCGGGUAGAGAAUACCAAGGCGCUUGAGAGAACUCGGGUGAAGGAACUAGGCAAAAUGGCACCGUAACUUCGGGAGAAGGUGCGCCGGCUAGGGUGAAGGAUUUACUCCGUAAGCUCUGGCUGGUCGAAGAUACCAGGCCGCUGCGACUGUUUAUUAAAAACACAGCACUCUGCAAACACGAAAGUGGACGUAUAGGGUGUGACGCCUGCCCGGUGCCGGAAGGUUAAUUGAUGGGGUUAGCGCAAGCGAAGCUCUUGAUCGAAGCCCCGGUAAACGGCGGCCGUAACAAUAACGGUCCUAAGGUAGCGAAAUUCCUUGUCGGGUAAGUUCCGACCUGCACGAAUGGCGUAACGAUGGCGGCGCUGCCUCCACCCGAGACUCAGUGAAAUUGAAAUCGCUGUGAAGAUGCAGUGUAUCCGCGGCUAGACGGAAAGACCCCGUGAACCUUUACUGUAGCUUUGCACUGGACUUUGAGCCUGCUUGUGUAGGAUAGGUGGGAGGCUUUGAAGCGUGGACGCCAGUUCGCGUGGAGCCAUCCUUGAAAUACCACCCUGGCAUGCUUGAGGUUCUAACUCUGGUCCGUAAUCCGGAUCGAGGACAGUGUAUGGUGGGCAGUUUGACUGGGGCGGUCUCCUCCUAAAGAGUAACGGAGGAGUACGAAGGUGCGCUCAGACCGGUCGGAAAUCGGUCGCAGAGUAUAAAGGCAAAAGCGCGCUUGACUGCGAGACAGACACGUCGAGCAGGUACGAAAGUAGGUCUUAGUGAUCCGGUGGUUCUGUAUGGAAGGGCCAUCGCUCAACGGAUAAAAGGUACUCCGGGGAUAACAGGCUGAUACCGCCCAAGAGUUCAUAUCGACGGCGGUGUUUGGCACCUCGAUGUCGGCUCAUCACAUCCUGGGGCUGAAGCCGGUCCCAAGGGUAUGGCUGUUCGCCAUUUAAAGUGGUACGCGAGCUGGGUUUAGAACGUCGUGAGACAGUUCGGUCCCUAUCUGCCGUGGACGUUUGAGAUUUGAGAGGGGCUGCUCCUAGUACGAGAGGACCGGAGUGGACGAACCUCUGGUGUUCCGGUUGUCACGCCAGUGGCAUUGCCGGGUAGCUAUGUUCGGAAAAGAUAACCGCUGAAAGCAUCAAAGCGGGAAACUUGCCUCAAGAUGAGAUCUCACUGGGAACUUGAUUCCCCUGAAGGGCCGUCGAAGACUACGACGUUGAUAGGCUGGGUGUGUAAGCGUUGUGAGGCGUUGAGCUAAC
rnacentral:rRNA from 1 species